UGUGCCAGGAACAACGGUAAUUGUGGGA
rnacentral:piRNA from 1 species